GGCAGGGGAGUGCGCCUCCUCCAGUCGCCGGCCAGUCCGGCCGGCCCCCCCGCCGAGGGGAAAGUGCCUGAGGGGUUGUGAAUGUCCGCCUUAUAUAGGCUUAGCCAGUACUAGAGGUGGGGAACUUGGUAGUUUGAGAAAAACUAUCGCUCGCUACCGAUGGUGCCGACUAUCGAUAGUUCCCCACCUCUAGUCAGAACAGGUGGCGAUUAAAUUCACGGAUCUGAAAUAAAAACAAACAAAUACAAAAAAUGUAACUGCUUUACCUCCAGCAGGUGCAGGGACAGGUGGGUGCGCCUCCUCCAGCAGUACCAGGUUGGUGCUCGUCCUCCAGCAGGCAGUGCUAGAUGGUUGCUCUUUCUGCAGCAUGAGCAGGUGGGAGCUCUUCCUCCUCCGGCAGGGGCAGGUGGAUGCAUUCCUCCAGCAGGGGCAGGUGGGUGUGCCUCCUCUAGCAGGGCUAGGUGUGUGCUCCCCCUCCAGCAGUGGCAGGGUGGUGAGCUUCCGCUUCCGGUGCUUAUGUGCAAGCUAUGAGAAUCGAAGAGGAGGGCCCUUCUGACUCCUCCGCCAACGGCACAGUCCUGCCUGUUAGGCAGUCUAGCUCCGGGCGCCGAGUCCCGUCGACGGCAACAACAGCAUCAACUGCCGGCAACAGCAGCUUCUGCCCAGGGAUCGGUGGCCGUUAUUUUCUAUUUAUACUAUUUUCGAAUCACUUUUCCAUCCCGGGAACUCCAGCAGUGGCUGCAGCAGCCGCCGCGAAUUCGCGUCAAGUGGCCGCCACAGCCGAAUAUUUCCGCAACCAGCGCUACCCGAAUCUUCAGCUGCGCGAUCUCGUUAACCAUAUGUAGAAUUCAUGCAGGAUCAGCACGGCUCGCGGUUCAUCCAACGGAAGCUGCAGCAAGCCACGGAUGACGAGAAGCAUGUGCUUGAAUACGUGGAUCCGGUUGCCCUGCAGUUCAUCAUCAAUGCUUUUUAAGGGACAGGUUUACUCGCUGAGCACCCAUCCCUAUGUGUUAUCCAGCGCAUCCUGGAGCACUGCACCGCCGAGCAGAGCACACCCCGUGCGAAAUGAUAAGGAUAUUCGCCAAAAAGUGUGAGAAACACGACGAUGGCACUUUUAUAAAUUUAAGGAAAUAAAAAGAUCCUUUGAUGCAAAUCGGCCGCAAAUAGUUCCCUGAUCGGGUCAAAAAUUUUUUAAAUCACUUUUAAACAAUACUUUGAAUAAGGAAAAAUGGCAGAAGGUUUGCUGAUUGUGGAAUGAAAUUAUGAAAUUCCGGCAUUUUGCCCCCCUUGGAUAUUUUCUCUCCUUUCCAUACGUAUAGUUCAGCCAGUUUGUAUCCAAUCUAGAAAUAAGGUACCAGUCUUUAAUCCGCGCACGGAGUACAACUCUUCCUCGUGCGAAGUAUUGCUUAAAUUUAAUUUUAAAUGCACAUCGUUUAAUGUGUAAUUUUUUUUAUUUAGUUUUGUGUUACCACAAUUGGAAUAUAUUUUACAAUUUUA